CCUACGGGAGGCAGCAGUGAGGAAUAUUGGUCAAUGGGCGCAAGCCUGAACCAGCCAUGCCGCGUGCAGGAAGACGGUCCUAUGGAUUGUAAACUGCUUUUAUUUGGGAAUAAACCUCUUUACGUGUAGAGAGCUGAAGGUACCAAAUGAAUAAGCACCGGCUAACUCCGUGCCAGCAGCCGCGGUAAUACGGAGGGUGCAAGCGUUAUCCGGAAUCAUUGGGUUUAAAGGGUCCGCAGGCGGACUUAUAAGUCAGUGGUGAAAUCUCUCGGCUUAACCGAGAAACUGCCAUUGAUACUGUAAGUCUUGAAUUCGGUCGAAGUGGGCGGAAUGUGACAUGUAGCGGUGAAAUGCUUAGAUAUGUCACAGAACACCGAUAGCGAAGGCAGCUCACUAGGCCUGGAUUGACGCUCAGGGACGAAAGCGUGGGGAGCAAACAGG
rnacentral:rRNA from 1 species